rnacentral:rRNA from 1 species
GAUGAACGCUGGCGGCGUGCCUAAUACAUGCAAGUCGAGCGAACGGACGAGAAGCUUGCUUCUCUGAUGUUAGCGGCGGACGGGUGAGUAACACGUGGAUAACCUACCUAUAAGACUGGGAUAACUUCGGGAAACCGUAGCUAAUACCGGAUAAUAUUUUGAACCGCAUGGUUCAAAAGUGAAAGACGGUCUUGCUGUCACUUAUAGAUGGAUCCGGGCUGCAUUAGAUAGUUGGUAAGGUAACGGCUUACCAAGGCAACUAUGCAUAGCCGACCUGAGAGGGGGAUCGGCCACCCGGGAACGGAGACGCGGUCCAGGCGACUGCGGGAGGCAGCAGUAGGGAACCUGCGGCAAUGGGCGAGAGCAUGGCGGAGCAAGGGCGCGUGAGUGAUGAAGGUCUUCCGAUCGUAAAACUCUGUUAUUAGGGAAGAACAUAUGUGUAAGUAACUGUAGACAGCUUGACGGUACCUAAUCAGAAAGCCACGGCUAACUACGUG